rnacentral:rRNA from 1 species
UGCCAGCAGCCGCGGUAACACGGGGGGCGCAAGCGUUAUUCGGAAUUAUUGGGCGUAAAGCGCACGUAGGCGGCCUGAUCAGUCGGAGGUGAAAGCCCGCAGCUUAACUGCGGAACUGCCCCCGAUACUGUCGGGCUUGAGUGCAGGAGGGGUGACUGGAACUCCAGGUGUAGCGGUGAAAUGCGUAGAUAUCUGGAGGAACACCGGAGGCGAAGGCGGGUCACUGGACUGCAACUGACGCUGAGGUGCGAAAGCUAGGGGAGCGAACAGGAUUAGAUA